UACGGGGGGGGCAAGCGUUGUUCGGAAUUACUGGGCGUAAAGGGCGCGUAGGCGGCCUACUAAGUCGGACGUGAAAUCCCUCGGCUCAACCUGGGAACUGCGUCCGAUACUGGAUGGCUUGAAUCCGGGAGAGGGAUGCAGAAUUCCAGGUGUAGCGGUGAAAUGCGUAGAUAUCUGGAGGAAUACCGGUGGCGAAGGCGGCAUCCUGGACCGGCAUUGACGCUGAGGAGCGAAAGCCAGGGGAGCAAACGGG
rnacentral:rRNA from 1 species